UAGGGAAACUUUCGCAAUGGGCGAAAGCCUGACGGAGCAACGCCGCGUGAGUGAUGAAGGUCUUUGGAUCGUAAAACUCUGUUAUUAGGGAAGAACAAAUGUGUAAGUAACUAUGCACGUCUUGACGGUACCUAAUCAGAAAGCCACGGCUAACUACGUGCCAGCAGCCGCGGUAAUACGUAGGUGGCAAGCGUUAUCCGGAAUUAUUGGGCGUAAAGCGCGCGUAGGCGGUUUUUUAAGUCUGAUGUGAAAGCCCACGGCUCACCCGUGGAGGGUCAUUGGAAACUGGAAAACUUGAGUGCAGAAGAGGAGAAUGGAAUUCCAUGGGUAGCGGUAAAAUGCGCAGAGAUAUGGAGGAACACCAGGGGCGAAGGCGACUUUCUGGUCUGUAACUGGCGCUGAUGUGCGAAAGCGUGGGGAUCAAACAGG
rnacentral:rRNA from 1 species